rnacentral:rRNA from 1 species
UACGUAGGGAGCAAGCGUUGUCCGGAAUCAUUGGGCGUAAAGCGCGCGUAGGUGGCCUCAUAAGUCCGCUGUGAAAGUCAAAGGCUCAACCUUUGAAAGCCGGUGGAUACUGUGGGGCUAGAGUACGGAAGAGGCGAGUGGAAUUCCUGGUGUAGCGGUGGAAUGCGCAGAUAUCAGGAGGAACACCAAUAGCGAAGGCAGCUCGCUGGGACGUUUACUGACACUGAGGCGCGAAAAGCGUGGGGAGCGAACAGGG